rnacentral:rRNA from 1 species
GCUCAGGAUGAACGCUGGCGGCGUGCCUAAUACAUGCAAGCUCGAGCGAACCACUUCGGUGGUGAGCGGCGAACGGGUGAGUAACACGUAGGUCAUCUGCCCAUCAGACGGGGACAACGAUUGGAAGCGAUCGCUAAUACCGGAUAGGACGAAAGUUUAAAGGUGCUUCGGCACCACUGAUGGAUGAGCCUGCGGCGCAUUAGCUAGUUGGUAGGGUAAAGGCCUACCAAGGCGACGAUGCGUAGCCGACCUGAGAGGGUGAACGGCCACACUGGGACUGAGACACGGCCCAGACUCCUACGGGAGGCAGCAGUA